rnacentral:rRNA from 1 species
UACGAAGGGACCUAGCGUAGUUCGGAAUUACUGGGCUUAAAGAGUUCGUAGGUGGUUGAAAAAGUUGGUGGUGAAAUCCCAGAGCUUAACUCUGGAACUGCCAUCAAAACUUUUCAGCUAGAGUUUGAUAGAGGAAAGCAGAAUUUCUAGUGUAGAGGUGAAAUUCGUAGAUAUUAGAAAGAAUACCAAUUGCGAAGGCAGCUUUCUGGAUCAUUACUGACGCUGAGGAACGAAAGCAUGGGUAGCGAAGAGG